UUUCCGUAGGUGAACCUGCGGAAGGAUCAUUAAUGAGUUGUCAUGGGGUUCGAUGCUGGCAGCCAAUUUUUGGAUGCAUGUGCUUGCCCUAACAAUCAUCCUCCAAACACCUGUGCACAUUUUUGAGGGAGUCUUGAGUUGGUUGCCGCUCUUGGGUGAUUUUCUCACAUUCCCUUAAAUCAUUAUACGCUAUUAACAAUGUUGAACGUGCUCUGUGCCGCAAGGCUAUUAAUAUAAUACAACUUUUAACAACGGAUCUCUUGGCUCUG
rnacentral:misc_RNA from 1 species